AUGCAACAACAAUUUAAACAUUUUAAUUGUUGUUACUAUGAUGCGAAUGACAUGGGCAAGUUUUAUGCAAGUUUUAAAGAAAAUGUUGAUAAGAGCAUAAUAUGGAGCAUAUGUCAUCGUGGCGGAAAGAAAGGAUGCCACGGCGACGAUAACGGAAACAGUACCACGACAACGUUCCGGUUCCGGUACUCGAUUGAGAUACCGAUGCAAAGGGGAAGUGUGCGGAACGUGACAUGCAGGGAUGGUGGGGUGAUCUCGGAUACCGAGUUCCCACAUGUGGGUGGCAAGGCAAAAGAGGAGGACCGAGCAAGUGACAACUCGGGCACGGUGCAAACAUAG
rnacentral:rRNA from 1 species